GCCGGUGAUUUAGCCGCGCGUGUCCCACCCCUUCCCAUUCCGAACAGGCAGGUGAAAGCGUGCGGUCCCGAUGAUACUUUCUGCCUCGGCGGACGGGAAAGUAGGGUUUGCCGGCU
rnacentral:rRNA from 1 species